GACGAACGCUGGCGGCGUGCUUAACACAUGCAAGUCGAACAGUGGCGAACGGGUGAGUAACACGUGAGUAACCUGCCCUCCACUUUGGGAUAACUCCGAGAAAUCGGGGCUAAUACUGGAUAUUGGGGGAUGGACUCGCGGCCUAUCAGUUUGUUGGGGAGGUAGUGGUCACCAAGGCGUGACGGGUAGCCGGACUGGGAGGUGGACCGGCCACGCUGGGUCUGAGACACGUCCCAGACUCCUACGGGAGGUAGCCGUGUGGAAUAUUGCACAAUGGUCGAAAGCCUGAUGGAGCGACGCCGCGUGGGGGAUGACGGCCUUCUGGUUGUAAACCUCUUUCAGCAAGGAAGCGGUACUUGCAGAAGAAGCGCCGGCUAACUACGUGCCAGCAGCCGCGGUAAUUC
rnacentral:rRNA from 1 species